UACGGGAGGCAGCAGUGGGGAAUAUUGCACAAUGGGCGCAAGCCUGAUGCAGCCAUGCCGCGUGUAUGAAAAAGGCCUUCGGGUUGUAAAGUACUUUCAGUCGUGAGGAAGGUGUUAAGGUUAAUAACCUUAGCAAUUGACGUUAGCGACAGAAGAAGCACCGGCUAACUCCGUGCCAGCAGCCGCGGUAAUACGGAGGGUGCGAGCGUUAAUCGGAAUUACUGGGCGUAAAGGGCACGCAGGCGGUUAAUUAAGUUGGAUGUGAAAUCCCCGGGCUUAACCUGGGAAUGGCAUUCAAGACUGGUUAGCUAGAGUCUUGUAGAGGGGGUAGAAUUCCAUGUGUAGCGGUGAAAUGCGUAGAGAUGUGGAGGAAUCCGGUGGCGAAGGCGGCCCCUGGACAAAGACUGACGCUCAUGUGCGAAAGCGUGGGGAGCGAAACGAGGGAUUAGAUACC
rnacentral:rRNA from 1 species